GCGCUCUUAGUUCAGGAUCGGUAGAACGCGGGUCUCCAAAACCCGAUGUCGUAGGUUCAAAUCCUACAGAGCGCG
rnacentral:tRNA from 1 species